rnacentral:rRNA from 1 species
CCUACGGGAGGCAGCAGUCGAGAAUCAUUCACAAUGGGGGAAACCCUGAUGGUGCGACGCCGCGUGGGGGAAUGAAGGUCUUCGGAUUGUAAACCCCUGUCAUGUGGGAGCAAAUUAAAAAGAUAGUACCACAAGAGGAAGAGACGGCUAACUCUGUGCCAGCAGCCGCGGGAAUACAGAGGUCUCAAGCGUUGUUCGGAAUCACUGGGCGUAAAGCGUGCGUAGGCUGUUUCGUAAGUCGUGUGUGAAAGGCGCGGGCUCAACCCGCGGACGGCACAUGAUACUGCGAGACUAGAGUAAUGGAGGGGGAACCGGAAUUCUCGGUGUAGCAGUGAAAUGCGUAGAUAUCGAGAGGAACACUAGUGGCGAAGGCGGGUUCCUGGACAUUAACUGACGCUGAGGCACGAAGGCCAGGGGAGCGAAAGGGAUUAGAUACCCCUGUAGUC